UACAGAGGCCCCAAGCGUUACUGAGAAUCACUGGGUUUAAAGGGUGCGUAGGUGGCGCGUUAAGUCCGUUGUGAAAUCCCUGGGCUCAACCCAGGAAUUGCUUCGGAUACUGGCGUGCUUGAGGCCGGUAGGGGUCACUGGAACUGACGGUGGAGCGGUGAAAUGCGUAGAUAUCGUCAGGAACGCCGAUGGUGAAGACAGGUGACUGGGCCGGAACUGACACUGAGGCACGGAAAGCGUGGGGAGCGAACGGGG
rnacentral:rRNA from 1 species